rnacentral:lncRNA from 1 species
GCAAAAAUCCAACAUAAAAACAAAAUUAUAUUAUUUAACGAACAAAAAUUGGGUAAUAAAUUUCAAGUUCAAGAAUUGAAGAAUAGGGUACAAAACCAGAAAAGAAAACACAAAUAUCACUUUACAUCAAACAAUCCUAAAAAUUGAAUAAUUUUUUCUUAUUUAAUGAAAACAACCCAUUAAAGAUAUUAGACAAACAGUUCGAAUUUCUGUCAUUUCUUGAAGUGCUUAACCUUGUACCAUCCUUUCUUGCAAGAAUCCCCAACAAUCUUGAAACCCUUUUUGAAUAUAAUCUGGAGCUCCUUUGCUCUGUCCUUUACCUGAUUCUCGAAGCCUCCCAUUUUUCCGAAACAAACACAGUAUAGAGAGAGAGAGAGAGAAGUUUUAUUAUAGUAGAGAUUUGAGCUUAAAAGUGAUAAAUAAAAAUGGUGGGAUUGAGGUUUAUAAGGUUGUAGGAAAGUGGUGGGAUCCAACACACAGUGGGGACGUGGCUGUAAUCCAGUGGAUUUCGUCUGUAUAGAUCUAAUCUUUCGUAUUUGUGACGUUGAUUGCGGGGAUAAUUGAUAAGAUUCAAAUAUUCGAAGGCCAUGUUUGGCUGGAACAAUAGCUUAUAAGCACCUUUGAAACUUUACACAAAUAUGGACCCUUUUUUUGGGUCCAAUCAUGAGAAAGAUGUGUCAAAUUCAGGCAGACCACCAACUCACCCGUUAGUAAUUAAUUUUGAUUACAUAUUUGAUGAAAUUUAUAAUUUUUCAAUAAAAUAUUUUAUUAAUUUCUAUCAAAAUUUAUUAAAAAUUUAAUUUUAAUUCUUAUCAAAUAGGAACUUAGUUUUAGGGAUGGAGUGUCCAAAUAAUUAAUAACCUUUAUAAAUAUAUUUGAAUAAUUUGUUUUUAAAAGACUUAUUACAUUAUGUCAACAUAAAUAACUUAUUUAUCUUUAAUAUGAUUAACAAUAGAUUUUGUUACUAAAUUUUUUUGAAGUAAUUUUAUUUUGUAAAAGUAAAGUUAUUUCAUAUUUUGAUAAAUUAGAUUUCUUAAUUCUAAGUAGAAAGAAACUCUUAUUUAGCCCUCAUUUGAUUUUCAUUAUUUGCUCAUUAAAAUGAAAAAUAUGAUCUUUAUCCAUCACAUCAAGUCACCAUAUUUGAUUUUCUAUCUUUUGUGUGGGUCCCGUAACGACUAUAUUUUUCAUUUUCAUUUUUACAUUAAUGUGUACCAAACGGGAUCUUAAUCUUGAUUAAUAAAAGAAUUACUUAUUUCGACUUAUAAGCCAGUUGUCUUUCAUUUUCGUGUAGAUUUUAUUUGUAUUUUAAUAAAAUAAUUUUGAACAUAAUCUCAAAUAGUCAUCAACAGUUGUCAAUUACUUCACGCCAGCAAUUAAUUUUGAGAAAAUUGAAGUUGACUAUUAUAUUAAUAUUUCUUUCUGUACAUAAAUAUAGUAAAUUAAGCUUUAAAGUCAAUAAAUUUCAACCACAUAUUUUAUAGGAUUUAUAUUUUUUUAAUUAUAUUUUUCAUCAACUUUUAUCAGAAUUUGCUAAAAGUUUAAUUUAAAUUUCCAUCAAACGGGGGCUAAUUAUUUUUAAGUUGAAAGGAACUUAUAAGUUAAAACUAACAUUCACAGACAAGGCGUAAAUUUACAGGUAAUUGUUAAAAAAUAAAAAAUAAAAAAGUCAAUUCUAUAAUCUUAAAAGUAUUAAUGUGCAUUAAUUUUCCAAAAGAUAUUAUUUAAUAUUAACACGUACAAAAUUUGAACUGGAAUGGCAAAUUCCACGGUGCCACCGCAGAAACCUCUGGCAUUCUGUCGCAUCAGAUGGGUCAAAUGUGCCUUGUGAAUAUAAUCAAUUUUAAAACUAAUACACUGUUUAGCUUUCUUUCUGUUUGUUUCUUCAUACAAAUUCGAUACUUCGCCACUGUUUGGCUCCCAUUACAUGAAAAAAUUAAUCAGUGUAACAGUAUUUUUCUGAAAAAUGAAUUGUUGAAAAAGAAGGAAAAUUUUUCGAUUUACGUAUAAUAUUAUUUUAUAGAAAAUUGUGUGAUUAAAAAUAAGAGAGAGAAAAAUGAAAAUGUAAUGUAAUAUAAAUUAAUGGGGCGAAACAAUAGAUGAGAAUAUGAAAAUUAAAAGACGUCUAUAUAAAGAUAAUAUCACUUAUGAAAAAAAUGAACGUCAAUCAUAAUAUUAUUUGUUUAUUCCAAAAUUAUAUACUCAUCAAUGUUUGAAUAGGAGAAUAAUUAAAUGGAAAAUUCUAUUUGUACAUAAUUAUUACACAUAAUAGUGUCAAUAACGUGAUGUGGCAAUCAUCCGAUCAUUGAUGUACAAGUGUGAAAUUUGAAUUAAAGGUUGGAUCCAGUGCCACGUGUAAUUAUGGACACCAUUAUAUAGACAAUUAUAUACAUAUAACACUUCCCUAAUUAAAUAGGGACAAAAUAUCUCAACUCGACUAUAAUAGUAUAUAUUUGCAUAAUCCAAAUAUCCAUUCACAAUUUGUCCCCAAAUGCAUAUUUAAUAUCUCGUUCCAUCAAAUUUUCUUAACAAACAAAUAUUAGUAUUAGGUUAUGUUUGAUUUGAUUGCACCCCAAUUCCAUGAAAAAUGGAAAUCAAAUUCCAUCUUUCCAAUUUUUUUGUUAUUUGAUUGGCAAAAUUUUCUCUAGAAUUCGAAUUCCACAUUUUACGCCACAUAAGCUAAUUUCUAUGUUUUCCUUGAAUUCCAAUGGUGAGAAUUGGAAUUCCCGAUUAUUGUAGCACUUUUUUUUUUCGAUUUUUUUGGUUGCAAUGAAAACAAAUUCUAAAAAUUAUUGUAAAAAAUUAUUUCAUUUUAAAUGACAAUUUUCAUGUAAAACAAAGCCAAACGAAUACCAAAAGAUAGAUGAUUUUCUCGAAAUUUUUUUAUUUGUGUUGGCAAUGAAACAAAUUUCAUCCCUAAUACCAGUAAAAUCGAUCCCUUUAAUUGACAAUUUUCAUGUAAAACAAAGCCAAACGAACAUCAAAAGAUAGAUGAUUUUCUCGAAAUUUUUUUAUUUGUGUUGGCAAUGAAACAAAUUUCAUCCCUAAUACCAGUAAAAUCUAUCCCUUUAAUUGAUAAUUUUCAUAUAAAACAAAGUCAAAUGGAGUAAAAAAACACUUUUAUUUUAAUAUUUUUCACAUGAAAAAUUAUUCCAAUCAAAUACAAUAAUUUAAAAUUAUCAUGAAAAUAAUUUCUAGACAAUUCAAUUCCCUAGAAUUCAUUUCAAUUCAAUUCAAUUCCAUCUUUACAAUCAAACGGCCCUUAGUCUUUAUUUAUUUACUGAGAAGAGGUGAAGUACCAAUAUAUCAAAAAUUUAUUGAAGGAAUAAUUAACAACAGAAAAUUCAGGAGAGCAUAUAGAACUGUAUUCUUUAACCCACUUUGCUUUUUUUUUUUUUUAAGGCAGAUUCCAACUCCAACUGUAUUUGAGUGUCACAUAGAAUGUGACUGUGACUUGGAUGUAAAGACAGAAUAUUAUGAAAAGAAUUAUUGGCAUUCAAUGUAUUCCAUAUGCCAAGUCAUAAUUCUGUCUAUGCUCUCACAUGGAACUUCAAAUUAAAGUGAAGCAAUUCCAUAGUAAACGCCAAGAGCAUUUGGAAUAUUUUUGGUAUUUUUAGUUAAUUUUCUUCAUUUCUUAAAUAUAAGAGAAUCUUUUGUAUACAAAGUUGGAUAGAAUGAAUUUCUUUAGAAGAAUCCUAAACAAGCAAAGUCAUCGAAAUUUUUUAUUAAAAUUAAAUAUAUUUUUACUUCGAUUUAAAUUUUCAAGAUCGUCAAUGAAAUUUGGAGAUUCUCUGAAUCAAACUGAAUUACAAAGGCAUUGAUAGUAUUCUUAAUAAGUGCAUGAGGAAAACUAUUAAUUUCACAUCGAACAAAAACGGAAACUAAUAAGAGAAAUUAGCUACUCCAAGAUUCCAUGUGUGAAUCGAAUUAUCUUAGGCCAAUAAGAUGAAAAGUAAGUGAGAAUCUUAAGUUAGAAAUUAGUUCUUAAGAAUGAGCAUUCAAUAAGGAUAUUACACUAAUCAUAGUAUAAAAAAGGGGGAAAAUGUUAUCAUAAUUCAUGAGUGAAAGUUACGCUAUAAAAGAUCUCAAUGAAGACAUUUAAUGAAAAUUCAAAAAAUGAUAAAAGUUAGUGCGUCACAUAGAAUAGGCACAAUAACUAUGAAAAGCAAGUACAUAAAAUAGAAUAUGCAUUUUUUAUGCAUGAUUGAACCCUAAAUACUUGAGCUGAUCAGAUUUUUGGCAAGGGAUUAUUCGCCUAGGUGAGUCUCAGAGAUUAAAGCAAUAAAAAACAUAGAAUAAACCACGUUUGUUGAGAUAUUGACUUGCAUUGGUGAAAUCUAUCCAAACUAGAGAAAAUGAUCAGUACCAUGAAUUCAACCUUAGAAUAUAACUUGAAAGAGAAUUAGAUGAACAAGCUUGUGAGUGGCAUAGCUUACGAGUGAUGAAAUAAUAUAUUUGACUAUUGACGGUUGAGAAUUGAAUCAACUUGUAAAUUUAUGAUAUUAUACUUGAUUACUCACACACUCCCAUCAGUUUUACAAUGAAUAAGUAGAAGUUGAUUUUUGUAUUGUCCUUUUGAAUCUGUCUAUAGAUUUGACAUAAGAAAUCCAAUACUAAGACAAAUGACUAUCUAUCUCAUCAAUUUUGUUGCAUGCUUGUUAAGAUAUGUGUAUAAUUGUAUUUGAGAAUCAACAAUUUGUUGCACUCAAAUAUUCAACAACAAAAACUCAUUUGAUUCAGCCCAUGCGACUGCACAUAGUUAUUCCAUGCGAUCACAUGGGCAUUUUCCGUCGACGCUUCUUUGUUUGAAACUCCAUUUAGAAAAUACUUCAAACACAGUUCUUGGCCUAAUUUUAGCCUCCGUAAGUAUAGAACAGGGCCAACAUUAAGGAGUCUUUCAUAUCAUAUGUAACAUACAAUCUUGCAAUUAAGGGAGGCCAAUCUAUCAUACUUUGAGGAGGAGAGCAAGUUUAGCAAAAAAAUUGAAGGCAUUUAACGUCAAGAAGUUGGAGAACCAAAACUUGGGAUUGAAGAUCAAGAACAACAAAUAGAUUCCACGUCUCCUUGUAGAUAUACAUUUUGGGGUGAUGACUUUUCAAUCUUUUUUUGUGUAUUAUCAUUAGAAACGUGUUAGGCUAAACUUCAUUGUGUUGGGAUGAAGAUGAAAUCUUUUAUUUGAUUAUUUUCAAUUCAAAAUUUUUUUAGUUAAUUAAUUUGUGUUCUUGAUUGAUCUUGUAUGCAUGAGAUGUUGAAUUACUUGUAUGUUUGCGGACCAUUUUAGUAAUUAGUUGCUUAAUUUGUUUUCCGGAGGUUCAUGAUGGGCUUAGAACAUUGCAAUAAUCGUAUAAUUGAAUGCUUUACUUUGAAUAUAAAUUUAGGAUAAAGAUAUUAUCGAGUUGUGUUUAGAAUAUGUUUGACUUAGCUCAGAAGAGAUAGUUUCUACCAACAAGAAGAAGAUAAGUUGCUAGAGAGCUACUCCAUUUGCAAAUGUUCGAGGUAUAUAGGCGACAUAAGUUACAAUAGGAAAAUUUGUUCAACUCUGAUACACUUAUCUACGAGUAAUGUUUUUUUAUUCCAACUACUAAUAUCACUAUUUCCACGUUACGAGAGAUUUUGAUCAGGGCUUCCUUCCUCCAAAGUUAGCAGUAUCUCUAAUCAUGCCUCCAAUCUAUGAACCGUUUCCUCAUGCAUAUGAUGGGUGUUUUGUACCAGUUUGCUAUGAAUUAGGCAUUAGAAAUACUCGAAAAUCAUACAUUUAGGGGGACAACGCGAAUGCCUAUUGCUAAAAAAAUUCAAAGCUGGUAUCAUGAAAGGAGGAUGGUCACGUUAGCUGGUCCAUCGAUGUCGUCACUAGUGUUCUCCUUAUAUCUCUUGGAAAUUUUGAUAUUGACCGGUCAAUUGUAACGUGAACUACAUUGCACUGAAAAAUGUUUUUUGUUCAUUCUUUGUCACCAGUAGAAGUGGAUGUUAUAUCAUUCUAGAGUUGUUUUUGUCGUUGUUAUGAUGUCUUAUUGAAAUAGGAUGCAAUAAGAAAAUUGUAGGAAAGAGGAGAAAAGAGGGAGAAAAAAGAGAAGAAGGGGUAGAGAAUAGAGAGAAAUAGGGGGAGAAUGUUAAUUCAUUUCAUAAUUAAAGGUUGUUCUAUCACAAAGUAAAAGACCCUUUUAUAGAAGGUUUAAAAUAGUGCUAAUUUAAGCAAUAAAUUAUUAUAAAAUCAAUGAAAUCAAAACAUUUAUUAUGUUUCCUAGAAUAAAUAUCAAAAUUGAAAACUAAAUUUAAUAAUAUCUCUUUAAUAUUGCAACAUUUCUCCUCGACUAAGAGAACUCGAUUCUAUUGAGGUAGACUAAAACUUUGUACUCCAAGGAGACCUAUCUUUUGUCUUGACGAAAUUCUUGUAUUGAAUCUUGGACAACAUCAUUCCAUGGAACUCAAACACAAAGGAGGACCAUCCUUCCUAUAAAUAAAAUAACAAAACUGAUCAUGUGACAAUUGAAGCUGCAGUUCAUCUCCAAGAAUAUGAUCGAAAUAAGGAGAACAAUCUUGGUUUUUAACAAAUAUCUCCAUGGAACUCCAAAAAUCAAAAACUCAUGCUCAAAAUCUCUAAUUGGUUGUGCAUAAUAAGGAGCACAAGGAACUGCCACUGCAAACUGGCCUGUAGGAAAAAUUGAUUCCAACAUCGAAAGCUCGAAUAGGCCCCAAUAAAGAAACAAUUCUUCUAUAUUGCAAGCAUAACUCUUAUUUUAAGUGUAAUGGUCAGUCAAAUAGAAAUUCUUUAUAUAAAUGUUCCAUAACUCCUUUUUGAACAUGUUUAGGAAACCGAAACAAAGAAUAAUAAUCAUUAGUGUCUCCUAACCUAUGCUGCACAUCAUAAGCAAGUUCAAAAAUUUCAUGAUUAAAAAUGAUUUGCCUUUUUAUCAUAGCAUGAAAUUUAAAAACAUUGACAACAAAAUGAUGAGGUAACACUGCACAUCAAUAAUUAGUAGGUAGCAUCCUAAUAUCAAUAAGAAAAAUGUGCAAUCAAAUAAUGGCCUUGGAAACAAUGUGGUAGCCUGAGGAAUAUCAUGCAAUUGAGAUAAUGUAACAAUAAAAUCAACUUUAUGGGUACACUCAGAAGUAGGCAAAUUGUUUGGUUGAGGUGGAACUGGCAAUACUAACGAUAAUUCGUCAACUAUAUCAUUGUUAAUUAUGCCAAAAGUCAUUAGAGGGGACACGUGACAAUGAUCACAACGCUUAUCCUCACUAUUAGAAGAGUUAAUUGGUUCAAGAUUAAAAAUCACAUUGUCUUCUUCAAAAAGAGGUCUAGCACAAUUGGACUUAUAAAGCGAACAGACUUGCCUGUCGGACUUUUUACAUAAUUGACGAAGUCGAAAAUAUGUGUACCAAUGGUUGGCUAGAAGGUAAGCUUCGUCUAAGGAUUGAAGUUCGGGAAUGUUAUCAGGCAAAAUUUUAGGAUUUCACCCGUUGAUUUUAUUUUUGCAGGCUUGUCUAUCGUUUUAGUGCAUCAUGCUCCUCAUGUGGAAUACGUAGUACAUGCAUAAGUUGCACAUGCUGUUGCUCACUGGGCCCCUUAUCAAUAAUUGGUUAAAAAGAAAGAUCAUCCCCCUUAGUCAGUUCAAAUAUUUACAUUCAGUUUCAGUUGUUGUCAGAUGAUUGCGUCCAUUGUCUGAUUGGGAAGAAAGAUCACCCUCAUUGGUUAAGAAGUUGCAUUCUAUCUCGUUAGAGUCGAGUUCUCUCGAUUAGGGAGAAAUGAUGUAAUAUUAGAAGGAUAUUAUUGUGUUUAGUUUUCAAUUUUAAUUUGUAUUUUAGGAAACAUAAUUAAAUUAAAUUUAGAUUCUUUUAUUAUAUAUUUCUUACUUAGAGUAGGGUUUUUUGAAAAUCUAUAUAAAGGGGCUUAUGCGAGUAAUGCUAACAACUUGAUUAUACGAAAUAAAUUGAUUUCUCUCUCUAAUUUUCUAUCUUCUCCUCUUCCCUUCUUCUUCUCUCUUUCUCUAGGAAUGGCAAUUGGCUCGCCAACUCGGCCCAAAAAAAGCCUGAACUAGCCCGUGUGGCUCGCCAGCUUGAGUUCAUGGGCCUAUAUUUAAAAAUUUUAAAAAUUAAAAUUUUUUUUAAAGGCUGCUUUGUUUUGCUUGUUGCCUUUAUUUAAUAUGAAAAAACCAAAAUUAAAAUCGAGUCUGUUAAGCUCGGCUCGGGUUCCAAAAAAGCUCGAACCAUUUUACUCGAGCCGAGCUCGAGACUCGAGUUAGAAAGGACCACACAACUAUUGAAACCUAAUAUACCGAAGCCAAAAGUGAACCUCUAAAGAAAAUUUCCCUUUUUUUUUUUCUUUUUUCUUUUUCUCUCACCUAAUUUGAAUUCAAACUAUGAACCCGUCAUUGUAGAUUUCGAUGUGGCAGUGUUUAAAAUAUCCAAUUUUCAAAAUAUAUCUAAAAUGAAGUCACUUUAAGUAGGAUGCUUGGAAAGUAGUGACUGAUAAGUUCCUCUGUGACCAUUUAGUUCUUGAUUUUGAAAAUGGAACAUGGGCGCAUCAUUUCAUUUUGGAAUGUGUAUAAAUACCUUAUUUUUAAAAUUUAAUUUAUACAACAUACUUUUUCUAGUUCGAGGAGCACGUCUAGGGAUGUCUAUGAGUCGAGUUGAGCCAAUUCGAUAGUCGAAACUUGAGGUUCGAGCUCGUCUCGGUUAAAAUAGUCGAGCUUUUUUCCGGGCCCAAGCCUGGCCGAGCAAAAGCUUGCCCAAAAAUUUUAGGCUUGACCCGAGCUUUCAAUUAGGGGCCUUUCCAAGUAGGGCAAGCCCGUUUCUCUCUCUCUCUUUUCUUUUGCUUUUUCUAUAUUAAACUGGUUGCCUAGUUUGCUGACUUUUUAAGGUAGUGUUCGCUACAUUUUAAUGCAACUUACAAGGGAUUUUUUUUAAUUAUUAAAUAAAGGCACACAGAUCGGCUCGGGCAAAGCUUGUAUAUCAAACAUGGGGCUCGGGCUUUUCCCGGGCCAAGCCACGGACGGCCCGAGCUGAUGAGCCCGAUUGACAUUCCUGAGUGCACGUCUCAUUUUUGUAAUUCUUGACUUGGAAGGGAAUACAUCUGAAUUAAUUGUUUUUGCAUUAUAAUUAAUGUGAAAUCUUUGAUGGCAUGUUUUUUAGUUGGUCGAAGAUAAUUAUUUUCCUUUUUCAGUAGAAUUUUUAGUUCCAUGUAAUUUUAUAGUAGAUAGAAAUCAGGGUUGUAAUCAAAAUCUUGGAACUCAAGCAAGAUGAAGAAUUCCUAUAGCACCACUACUAUACAAUUACCUAAAUUUCGUUUGUUAGAUAAAAUAUUUAAGUUAUGCUAAAUACAUAGUUAGUUUGACAGAUGAUGAGGUGACAUUCAUUUUGGUCAUCGAUUUAAAAAUUCAAAUUAAGGACCAAAAUGUAUGCCAUCUAAUCAUCUGUCAAUAAAGGUGUAAACAUUAUCUGCAUAAGUAGCUUAAUUGAAAUUUUUUUUCUUUCUUUUCAUUUUUUUUUUUUGAACGACCCAGGUUAGCUAUACCAUGCAACACCUACAAGGUUGUUGUAGAUAACGAGAGUACUGUCAUGGCCUUCCCCAAUGUAGGACUAGCAGUUGGGUCGGGCCGGGUCGGGUCUCUUCCUUACUAAUUUCACGUGGACUUAAUUGUCCUUGUUUGGCAGUGGAACGGGAAUAUUUGGACCUCAAGUGUCAAUUCAAUGAAGGUAGGCCCAUGGGAUUGUUGGACAACUACCAGCUCAAUGCGAUCAAAAUCUUGAGCACAAAUUAAAGAUUGAUGGGAAAAAAAUCACAUAUUGAUAUGGGGGAAAAAAAUCAUAUAUUAGGCCUUAACUAUACUAAUUCAAUUUUAAGAGAAAAUAUUUAAUAUUCCAAAACUUAGAGGAUAUAUGUUGUAUAUAUAAAUAAAAUUCUAUUAAAUUAAAUCUCUAAAAUACACAAUACCAUCUAACAAAAGAGAAAAGCCAAGAAGAUCUAUUAAUUUUCGAUUACAUCACUGACAUCUGGUUCAUUAAAAAUGAUUGGACAAAUAAGGUUACAAAUUGGAAGUUAUCGUCAUAGUAGAUCAUAAUUUUUGAAGGUGGCAACUAGCAUUGCAGGGUUGCUAUAUUGAAUUGAUGGUGAAGGGCAUUGAAUUAGAUUUGAAAGAUUUCGUAUUCACAAUUUUUAGCAACUAACAUUCUAUUGCUAGUGCAUCUUCCUAUUUUGGAUUUAUAAAACGGUGUUAAAGCUUUAUUGCUGUGAGGAAAAUUGAAGAGCUUUAUUGUCAUCGAUAUGUGAUAUUAUGAUACUGUUUUAUGUUUAUGACUUGUUUCAACAGCUUACUGCAUGAUCAGUCACAUUCGGGUAAUGGCUUACAUAGUUCAUAUAAUCAGUCACAUUCACAGAUUCACAUAUUGUGGCAUAUUCGGACAUGCAUGUACCUGUGACCUGAAUCUAUGACCCAGAAUGAAAAGCUUUGACAUGCAUCUAAACCAUGUGACCUAUGUGUUUGUCAACAAUUAUUUAAAUCUUAUUAGUGUAUGCACAUCUCUGUGUCUUGAACUCAAUCUACGUGGCAUUCUAACCUAAAAAGUGAUCUACAGAAAGAAAUGCGCAUUUGACAUCUUCGUUGGUCACAAUCUUAACUUGACUAAAGUAUUUGGUCUUCAAACGUGAUGGAUUUUUUUUUUUUUCUAACAUAUCUAUAUCACCGUUGCCAAAAUAUCCAAGGUCGGUAACUAAACAGAACUCCAGAAGCGAGAAACUAACAAAUUGGUAAACUAUAUUGAACAACACAUUGUUUUCAUUCAAAUAUUGCAUCUGCCUCAGCAUAAAAUAGUGAAACUAUUGUGGUUGAACCACAAUUUCAUGACAAUUCAAGAAGUGCGAGAAACAUGUAUCCUGCAGUAGAAGCUGUUGGGCUUCGUUAAUAUUUGUUUUGAAAUUUGUUAGAAUAGCCUUUGUUAUUGGGGUUUUUUUUUUUUAAAAAUUCUUUUUUUUUUGGGUUUUUUUUUUUUUUUUUUUUUUUUUUUUUUUUUUUUUUUUCAAGAAAUCAUCUUCUGGGAUUAUAUACUUCCAUAGCUACAUUAUUUGUUUAGAUCAAAACAAUGUUGAAAUUAAAUUUGAAUGAUACAUGAUUACAAGUCACAGCAAGCAUGGUAGACAAUUAGGCCAAUCGAGUCAUAUAUAUAACAAAUCUAGUCACAGCUUUUGGUUGUCAACAUAAUGUCACAUUCGGAUUCAUGCUAAAAUCAAAUGAAAUACAUUUCUAAAUCAAAUAACAUCAAUUCUAAACAUGUCCUAAUGAUAUAUUUGUUGUUAUGCACAUGAUUCACAUUGAUCACAUAUGGAUGGACAGGUCACAAACAACAAAAUUUAUGUCACAAUUCAUUCCUAAAUCAAUCAACAUCAAUUUCUAGAAAACAACACUUUCAAAUAACGGCCUUCACUUAAUUAAUUAGGUACUAAAUUGAACCGAACACAGGUCACAAAUAUCGAAUACAUUGACAAUAUAUGUCACCCAUCAAUUUUGGCUCACAUAAAUAGAUUUCAAAUAAAAAAUGAAUUUUAUUAUUAUUAUUAUUUUUUUUUAUUGAAAAUACCUUGUUCGAGGUCCAUUUUGUGACUAAUCAAGAAGUUUUGUGUCUUUUUUUAUGGAGAUUCUUUCGGUAUGUCUCUUCCUUUCUUUCACCUCUUCUAUUUGGGGCUUCACUACCUUCUUCCCUGUUUUCUACUCCUUAAUCAAACCAUUUUACCUGGGUUUUAGGGUCUAUAGUUCUUAUAGAGGAAAAUAGAGAAUAUGAUGAUGUGUGCAUAAUAGCAAGGGCAUAUAUGGAUAAAGGUGACAACAAGCUCAGCAAAGGUAUUUAUUGAUAACGAAGGAAUGUUAAAGGUGGUUUCUGUACGUGGGCUGAAGGUGCUUUUCGAAAAAAUAAGGCAGUGAAAAUGUUUUCCAAUUUUGAACCACUUAAAUUAAGGAAUACACCCAUAAUUAAAUUUAAUAUUUAAUAUUUAAUUAUUAUAUAUUAAACAUCUGAUUUAUGAAUAAUUAAAUCUUAAACCUGAUUUUAGAACUACACUCUUUAAAAAUCGGCUGCAACGUAAUCUCCACUAUUGAUAUAGUUCAUAUUAUAUUCUGACAUUAAUAAAUAUUAAAAGUGCUAUAGUAGGAGUGGAAAACACCAAAAAUAUUAUUUUUGAAACUUUCCCUUAAUCACAAUUGUAACUGAAAAUUGGAUUUGCUUACAUUACGCCAUUAAUUGAUUAUAAUUGCAAAAAAAGAUGAAGAUAUAUAUUAAAACUAGAUUGUAUCGCUGCUAUAAUGAUGAGAAGUGGGAUUCCAGCUCUGUUCAACACUGUCUGAAUCAGAAAUCAACAACAAUUCUUUACUUUUCAAUCUUCAAUCAUUUACAUCGUCGGGUAUUCUAGGUUGUUAAAUUUAAUAUUAUAUCACCUAAAUUCAUAUAUCAAGAGGAUCAUAUUUUGGGUUGGGUGAUAUAAUUACAUCUCUCAAUUCGAUGUGGAAUCAUUGUAUUGUACAACCAAAGUAUUUCUUUGGAUCUCAUUCUAUCUUGUACAACCAAUAAUCUACUCCGAAAAUAUCCUCUAUGACAUGUCAUUUUCCUAUAAUAAAACUGGGCAAUUUCUUUUAAUGUGUUCGCCAUGGUCACAAUAUACAUUAAUCUCUCUAAACUUUAAACACUCAUCAAGAUGAGAUCUUCUAUGUACUUGGAAAUAUGGAAAUCUAGAGCUUUGGAACUCUCAUCUUGUCCCGAAAUAAAUAAUCUCAAAAAAGAUGUUAAGUAUGAGGACAGAUACUCAUUGGUAGUUGUACAAUAUUGUGAUUGAAUCUAGAUCCUUGACUUCCUCGUGAUCUGGGCUUGAAAUGAACUUGAAGUGGACAUACCUAGUCGAGAUCCUCUAUUAUUCCUCUGUGGUGGUCUAUAGCUAAACGAUACAAUUAUAAUUUAGUUAGAAUCAAUAAUUAUAUAAGAUCGAUCAUCUAUUGAAUGUGCUCAUCUUAAGCUCAAAUUGAUCGAAAUUAAUCUAAAAUCUAAAUCUUCCUGGUAACGAUAUUCUUUACAUAUCUUUUAUUAUUACUUGUCAAUGAAUUUGUAAGCUUGAAGAAUUUGAAUUGAACAAAUUUUUAGUGCCGUUCUCAGGGAUAAUGAUAUGCAGUUUGAAUUUGAUUAGUUCAUGAUUAAAUUAGAAUUUUAUUUGUUAUUUUAUUUUGAAAAAUUUUAUUCUUAUUCCUGUUGAUACUCUACUUUAUUCUAUUUGAUCUUUUUGGGCAUUUGUACUAAAUGUAUGCUAAAUUUGGAAGAUCUUGACCUCCUACUAUUUGAUCUUGAGAUCUAGAAAACCUUUAGACAUGGAAAAAAGGAUCAUAAAGACAUAAGGGUUCAGGCAUUUACUACCAUGAGUGGAGUUUAGUUACCUGAAAUCAAUGUCAAAAGACAUGCAGUAUCAAAUGAAAAAGUACAUAUUCAACACGAGAUAAUGGACCAGUGUAAAUGAACAGGAGAUAUGAAUCCAUAUUAGAAUUCAAAUACUCCACAAGUUAAGACAACUGUUCCUAUCAAAGCAUAUGUGGCUACUAUAUUUAUUCCUCAAAAUUUAUAGGAGACUAAGCUGGAAAAACAAUUUGUAAAGAUCUUAGAUCUUUUCAAGAAGAUCAACAUCAAUAUCCCAAUAAUGACGAUAUAUUGAAAAUCUCGAGUUAUGCUAUGUUCUUAAAGAAGAUACUAUAAAAAAGAAGGCUUCUUGAAUAUGAGACACUAGCUUUAAAUGUGGAGUGUUGUGCCAUACUGCUCUAAAUAUCACCUCCUAAAUUAAACGAUCUAAGGAGUUGUAAAUGACCUUGACCUAUAGAAAUGAUUUGGCCCACAAUCUUUGCAAACUAGUGUUUGAACAAAAUGUUCAUUAUUUGAGUGAGGUUGUCCUUUUUCUUUGUCAACACCUCCAAAUAAACAAAAAAGGUCAAUUUUCAUGCAUUAUGAUGGCUGUUGCUCGUCAUUUCCCACGCCUUAAGCAAGGCACUCAACUAUUGUUUUAUAUUUACAAAUUUAGCUUAAGCUAAAACCAUAUUUUUAGUCACGAUUUGACCAUAUAUUUAAUAAGAUUCACUAUUUCUCAACUAUACAUUCCAUCAAUUUUUAUCAAAUUUUAUUAAAAAUUUGAUUUUUUUUUUUUUUUGGGGAAUUAUCAAAAAUGUCACUUUUUUUUAUAAUGCACAAAAAAUUUGCAUGUACACCUAAUUUUAUCAAAAAUGUCAUUUUUUUUUGUAAGAAAUGUCCAACUUACCCUUCGUGUUCCCUUUUUAGGAUCAUUUAGGGGAUGUUCUUUUUGACGUUUUCGAGCCGUUUUCUAUUUUCGAUUUUUCAAAACGUUGAAAACGCGUUCUCCUUCCCAUUUUUGAAAACGUGUUUUCCAAAACAAAAAAAAAAAAAAAAAAAAAAGAGAAAAAAACAAAAAUUAAAAAAAAAAAAAAAAAAAAAAAAAAAAAAAAAAAAAAGAGAGAGAGAGAGAAG